rnacentral:rRNA from 1 species
AUUGAACGCUGGCGGCAGGCCUAACACAUGCAAGUCGAACGAGUGGCGGACGGGUGAGUAAUGUCUGGGAAACUGCCCGAUGGAGGGGGAUAACUACUGGAAACGGUAGCUAAUACCGCAUACCAUCGGAUGUGCCCAGAUGGGAUUAGCUAGUAGGUGGGGUAACGGCUCACCUAGGCGACGAUCCCUAGCUGGUCUGAGAGGAUGACCGGCCAGACUGGAAUGGAGACACGGUCCAGACUCCUACGGGAGGCAGGAGUUGGGAAGAUUGCACAAUGGGCGCAAGCCUGAUUCAGCCAUGCCGCAUUUAUGAAGAAGGCCUUCGGGUUGUAAGGUACUUUCAGCGAGUAGGCGUUACUCGAAGAAGAAUCACCGGCUAACCCCGAGCCAGCAGCCGCGGUAAUAC